rnacentral:rRNA from 1 species
GGCGGACGGGUGUGUAACAUCUGGGCGACCUGCCUGUUGGACUGGGAUUACUUCAGGAAACCGAUACUAAUACCGGAUAGGAUCUUCUCCUUCAGGGGAAAUGAUUGAAAGAUGGUUUCGGCUAUCACUUACAUAUGGGCCCCCAGUGCGUUGGCUAGUUGGUGAGGUAACGGCUCACCAAUGCAACGAUGCAUAGCCNACCUGAGAGGGUGAUCAGCCACACUGGGACUGANACACGGCCCAAACUCCUACUGGAGGCAGCAGUAGGGAAUCUUCCGCAAUGGACGAAAGUCUGACGGAGCAUCACCACNUGAGUGAUGAAGGCUUUCGGGUCGUAAAACUCUGUUGUUAGGGAAGAACAAGUACAAGAGUAACUGCUCGUACCUUGACAGUACCUAACCCUAAAGCCACGGCUAACUACGUGCCAGCAGCCACGGUAAUACCUAGGUGGCAAGCGUUAUCCGGAAUUAUUGGGCCUAGAGCGCGCGCANGCGGUUUCUUAAAUCUGAUGUGAAAGCCCACGGCUCAACCUUGGAAGGUCAUUGGAAACUGGGGAACUUGAGUGCNGAANAUAAAAGCGGAAUUCCACGUGUAGCGGUGAAAUGCGUANAGAUGUGGAGGAACACCAGUGGCNAAGGCGGCUUUUUGGUCUGUAACUGACGCUCAUGCGCGAAAGCGUGGAGAGCAUACACGAUUAGAUACCCUGGUAGUCCACGCC